rfam:Clostridium sp. CAG:470 genomic scaffold, scf38
GUUAUUUUUCAAGCGCCAGGACCACUAUUUUCAGGAGGUUGACGAGGUCUAGAGUUAUCGAAAUAUUCGGCGGAUGCUCUAGUGGCUUUUACUUAAGGUCAUCAGUAUUAAUUAAAAACUAAUAGUAAUAUUAGAACAGAAGUUAAUAUUUUAAGUUU